UACGAAGGGAGCUAGCGUUGUUCGGAAUCACUGGGCGUAAAGCGCACGUAGGCGGAUGUGCCAGUCAGGGGUGAAAUCCCGGGGCUCAACCUCGGAAUUGCCUUUGAUACUGUAGGUCUCGAGUCCGGAAGAGGUGGGUGGAAUUCCUAGUGUAGAGGUGAAAUGCGCAGAUAUCAGGAGGAACACCGGUGGCGAAGGCGGGUCUCUGGGCCGAAACUGACGCUGAGGAGCGAAAGCGUGGGGAGCGAACAGG
rnacentral:rRNA from 1 species